AGCGAACGCUGGCGGCAGGCUUAACACAUGCAAGUCGAGCGGGCACUUUCGGGUGUCAGCGGCGGACGGGUGAGUAACGCGUGGGAACGUGCCCUCUGGUUCGGAAUAACUCAGGGAAACUUGAGCUAAUACCGGAUACGCCCUUUUGGGGAAAGGCUUGCUGCCGGAGGAUCGGCCCGCGUCUGAUUAGCUAGUUGGUGAGGUAACGGCUCACCAAGGCGACGAUCAGUAGCUGGUCUGAGAGGAUGAUCAGCCACACUGGGACUGAGACACGGCCCAGACUCCUACGGGAGGCAGCAGUGGGGAAUAGUGGACAAUGGGCGCAAGCCUGAGCCAGCCAUGCCGCGUGAGUGAUGAAGGCCUUAGGGUUGUAAAGCUCUUUUAUCCGGGACGAUAAUGACGGUACCGGAGGAAUAAGCCCCGGCUAACUUCGUG
rnacentral:rRNA from 1 species